rnacentral:rRNA from 1 species
AUUGAACGCUGGCGGCAGGCCUAACACAUGCAAGUCGAACGAGUGGCGGACGGGUGAGUAAUGUCUGAGAAACUGCCUGAUGGAGGGGUAUAACUACUAGAAACGGUAGCUAAUACCGCAUACCAUCAGAUGUGCCCAGAUUGGAUUAUCUUGUUGGUGUGGUAACGGAUCACCAAGGCGACGAUCCCUAGCUGGGCUGAGAGGAUGACCAGCCAAACUGGAACUGAGACACGGUCCAGACUCCUACGGGAGGCAGCAGUGGGGAAUAUUGCACAAUGGGCGAAAGCCUGAUGCAGCAAUGCCGCGUGUAUGAAGAAGGCCUUCGGGUUGUAAAGUACUUUCAUCGGGGAAGCGUUAACCGAAGAAGAAGCAACGGCUAACUCCGUGCCAGCAGCCGCGGUAAUUC